rnacentral:tRNA from 1 species
GGCGCUAUAGCCAAGUGGUUACGGCGACAGAUUAGAAUAAUUUCCAGAUGAGGAUCAUCUGUUCCUCUUUGAGGGCGCAGGUUCAAAUCCUGCUGGCGUCG